GAUGAACGCUAGCGGCAGGCCUAACACAUGCAAGUCGAGGGGUAACUAGAGUGAUAGCAAUAUUACUUUGGCUAGACCGGCGCACGGGUGCGUAACACGUAUGCAACCUACCUUAUACUGGGGAAUAACUUCGAGAAAUCGGCGCUAAUACCCCAUAACAUUGCGAAGAGGCAUCUCUUUGCAUUUAAAGCUCCGGCGGUAUAAGAUGGGCAUGCGUCCAAUUAGCUAGUUGGUGAGGUAACGGCUCACCAAGGCUACGAUUGGUAGGGGUUCUGAGAGGAUGAUCCCCACACUGGUACUGAGACUCGGACCAGACCCCUACGGGAGGCAGCAGUGAGGAAUAUUGCGCAAUGGACGAAAGUCUGACGCAGCCAUGCCGCGUGCAGGAUGACGGCCCUAUGGGUUGUAAACUGCUUUUGUACGGGAAUAAACCCUUCUACGUGUAGGAGGCUGAAGGUACCGUAAGAAUAAGCACCGGCUAACUCCGUGCCAGCAGCCGCCGUAAUAC
rnacentral:rRNA from 1 species